AAGACCUUGCGCUUUUGGAGCGGCCGAUGCCUGAUUAGCUAGUUGGUGGGGUAAUGGCCUACCAAAGCUUCGAUCAGUAGCUGGUCUGAGAGGACGGCCAGCCACACUGGGACUGAGACACGGCCCAGACUCCUACGGGAGGCAGCAGUGGGGAAUUUUGGACAAUGGGCGCAAACCUGAUCCAGCCAUGCCGCGUGAGUGAAGAAGGCCUUCGGGUUGUAAAGCUCUUUCAGCCGGGAAGAAAAGGUUGCGAUUAAUAAUCGCAAUUUAUGACGGUACCGGAAGAAGAAGCACCGGCUAACUACGUGCCAGCAGCCGCGGUAAUACGUAGGGUGCGAGCGUUAAUCGGAAUUACUGGGCGUAAAGGGUGCGCAGGCGGUUUUGUAAGUCAGAUGUGAAAUCCCCGGGCUUAACCUGGGAACU
rnacentral:rRNA from 1 species